AGUGAACGCUGGCGGUAGGCCUAACACAUGCAAGUCGAACGGCAGCACAGUAAGAGCUUGCUCUUACGGGUGGCGAGUGGCGGACGGGUGAGGAAUACAUCGGAAUCUACUUUUUCGUGGGGGAUAACGUAGGGAAACUUACGCUAAUACCGCAUACGACCUACGGGUGAAAGCAGGGGAUCUUCGGACCUUGCGCGAUUGAAUGAGCCGAUGUCGGAUUAGCUAGUUGGCGGGGUAAAGGCCCACCAAGGCGACGAUCCGUAGCUGGUCUGAGAGGAUGAUCAGCCACACUGGAACUGAGACACGGUCCAGACUCCUACGGGAGGCAGCAGUGGGGAAUAUUGGACAAUGGGCGCAAGCCUGAUCCAGCCAUACCGCGUGGUGAAGAAGGCCUUCGGGUUGUAAAGCCCUUUUGUUGGGAAAGAAAAGCAGCAGGCUAAUACCCCGCUGUUCUGACGGUACCCAAAGAAUAAGCACCGGCUAACUUCGUG
rnacentral:rRNA from 1 species